GGCACAUAAAACUCCUGGCACUUUCUGAUUUUAUUAUGGCAACAAAUAUUCUGAUAUCAAUAGCCUAUGAAAAAGUCUCAGUCUGAGCCUAUAUAGGCACCAAGAAAGUGAGACAAAUCUCCAUUGAUAAGUGCCAAUUCCCUAGCCACUGUCUGUGAAGCCUGAAAUGACAAACAAAUUAAAAGUUAAGUGAAACUGUCCCUAUAAAUUACCAAAACACUCUGCUCAUCAUGCGUGGACAAGAUGGCCACUUCCUGCCAUCCAAAGUGCUCCAGUAAUGCAGUUAAGACUUUGCUCAUAAAGGCAUCAGUCGGGACUGUAGCAUGAAAAUAUCUAUACAGUUGCAUAGGAUAUCGUUAUAAAAGAGGAGAGAUAAUAUCUUACUUGCAAUGUACUUAAGUACAGUCCAAAGACGUACGCAAACAUUUUAGCAGAAUCAGCAUGGAACUCGAUUAGUUCUGUUGGGUGCUAGUAUAAUGAGAUAGUAAACAUACUAAUUAUAUCAAGACAGUGGAUUUUUGACAGCUUUAAUGUAAACUGACAAUUUUCACAGAAUGACACACCUCAUGAAUAAAUGAUAGACCAUAGAGGAUAGACUGACCUGCU